UUUUACCUCCACACACCUGUACAGGUGAAUGUAACUUAAAUAUAAAGUAACUCGUCUUGGUCCGUUAGUCUGAACCCUUCCAUCGACCUGAACUGUUUCCUAGCCAAGACUACAGGUGUACAUUUCCAGUCAUUACCAUGUUCUGUAAGACUGGUUUGGUAAUGGCUGCUGUGCUUGCAAUUGCAAUUACAAACACUUAUGCCAAACACAUUGAAAUCCAAAGCAAAGAAGCCAAAUCCUUCCUUCACAGUGAAGAUCUUUCACGACAAAAGCGUUUGUUUGGUAGUUUUACUGAGACAGCUAAGGGGAUUGCCUCCCCCAGUGAAUAUUAUGGCAGACAAAAAAUAAAGAAACAAUUGGACUGAACAACUGUAUAUCACACUUAACAUMUCUUGAAAAUGUUUCAUUAUACAAAAUCUGAAUAAAGACUGACCAUUGCAACAAAUCAAAAAUCAAAAU